rnacentral:rRNA from 1 species
UACAGAGGUCCCAAGCGUUGUUCGGAUUCAUUGGGCGUAAAGGGUGCGUAGGCGGCGCGGUAAGUCGGGUGUGAAAUCUCGGGGCUUAACUCCGAAACUGCAUUCGAUACUGCCGUGCUUGAGGACUGGAGAGGAGACUGGAAUUUACGGUGUAGCGGUGAAAUGCGUAGAUAUCGUAAGGAAGACCAGUGGCGAAGGCGGGUCUCUGGACAGUUCCUGACGCUGAGACGCGAAAGCGUGGGGAGCGAACCGG